rnacentral:rRNA from 1 species
UACAGAGGGUGCAAGCGUUGUUCGGAAUUAUUGGGCGUAAAGGGCGCGUAGGCGGUUCGGCAAGUCUCUAGUGAAAUCUCUGGGCUCAACUCAGAGUCUGCUGGGGAAACUGCCGGGCUUGAGUGUGGGAGAGGAGAGUGGAAUUCCCGGUGUAGCGGUGAAAUGCGUAGAUAUCGUGGAGAACACCCGUGGCGAAGGCGGGCUUCUGGCUAAUUACUGACGCUGAGGUGCGAAAGCUAGGGGAGCGAACGGG